CUUCAUGUUUUUGAACAGAUUGCUAACUGUAUUCUAAACCUGAACCACCUACUGAAGACCUGCAGGAAAAAAAAAAAAAAAAAAAAAGUGGAAGAAUUGUGGAUAUCCUAAUUUGAGAGGAGGUUAUAGCACAAUAUUAUUAAGAUCAAACUGCCUCUUGCCUCAAAUCAAGAAGAAAACCACUCUUCUUUGACUAAAGCCAGUUCAGGAACAUUUUCUUCUGUCAAAACUUUCAGCCUGUUCUUCCAAGACAUGUAGAGUCAAAGAAAUGGUCUCACCACCUCCAACCCCAGUGCAGACCUCUUGGUCAGCCUUGUCUGAGAUGACUUAGCAUGGGGUAGUGGGAACUCUUAUCUGGCUCAGUGCUCCUGUUGAUGGUGGAUGAAAUGUUUAUUGUGUUGUUCAUCACAGAGAUCAAAAUGGCUUCUGGACUUUGUGCUGGUCUCUCCAGCUCUGAAGAAAAGCAGCAUGGCUUGCCUGACACUCUUGGUACAGAAGCUUCUCCAGCAGAGGUUCCUGCCAAUGAGAGACGAGAUCAGCUCACAUCAGAGGGAGGUCACUGGAUUCCUUGAAAAGAAGAGGUGGCUGUGCGUGUCUUCCUGUCCCUAUGCUUUCCUAAGCUACAGGGUAGCACUGAUCUUCCUCAGCAAGUUCAGUGCCUUGAAGCAACAGGAUCCCUGCCAGCCCACCAGGAUAGUGACAUCUGUGCUCCUGCAUACCAGUGUUUGGGAAGUAGGCAUGAUACCUGACAUCCAGCACAGUCAGGAACGAGCCAAAUCAAGAUGGGAAGGAGAGAAACUCUGGAUCUAUAGAGUGAGGAUGAGCUGGUGGACAUGCAGCCAACAGCAAGCUGUGUGUAGUAGUAAUUUCACUGGCUUUCGAGACCCUUCUAUCAGAGAACCUCAAUCACUGGGACAUACAAAAGAGGGGACAUGA
rnacentral:lncRNA from 7 species